rnacentral:rRNA from 1 species
CCUACGGGAGGCAGCAGUCGAGAAUCAUUCACAAUGGGGGAAACCCUGAUGGUGCGACGCCGCGUGGGGGAAUGAAGGUCUUCGGAUUGUAAACCCCGGUCAUGUGGGAGCAAAUUAAAAAGAUAGUACCACAAGAGGAAGAGACGGCUAACUCUGUGCAAGAAGCCGCGGUAAUACAGAGGUCUCAAGCGUUGUUCGGAAUCACUGGGCGGAAAGCGUGCGUAGGCUGUUUCGUAAGUCGUGUGUGAAAGGCGCGGGCUCAACCCGCGGACUGCACAUGAUACUGCGAGACUAGAGUAAUGGAGGGGGAACCGGAAUUCUCGGUGUAGCAGUGAAAUGCGUAGCUAUCGAGAGGAACACUCGUGGCGAAGGCGGGUUCCUGGACAUUAACUGACGCUGAGGCACGAAGGCCAGGGGAGCGAAAGGGAUUAGAUACCCCAGUAGUC